UACGGAGGGGGCUUAGUGUUACUCGUCGUAAUGGGCGUAAAGGGAGCGUAGGUGCUUUGCAAGUGCUUGGUGAAAGACUGGUAAUUAGAAUCUUGGCCGCUUGUAGACUGCAAAGCUUGAGUCCCACGCAAGAUGACGGACUACUGUGGAGAUGUGAAAUGCUACGAUACAGAUAGGACGACGUUGCGAAGGCGGUCAUCAGCUGGGUUACUGACGCUGAGGCUCUAAAGCUGGGGAGCGAAAAGG
rnacentral:misc_RNA from 1 species